UACGGGAGGCAGCAGUGGGGAAUAUUGCACAAUGGGCGAAAGCCUGAUGCAGCUAUGCCGCGUGUAUGAAGAAGGCCUUAGGGUUGUAAAGUACUUUCAUCGGGGAGGAAAAACAAAACUAAUAAUUUUAUUUCUUGACGUUACCCGAAAAAGAAGCACCGGCUAACUCCGUGCCAGCAGCCGCGGUAAUACGGAGGGUGCUAGCGUUAAUCAGAAUUACUGGGCGUAAAGAGCACGUAGGUGGCUUUUUUAAGUCAGAUGUGAAAUCCCUGGGCUUAACCUGGAACUGCAUUUUGAAACUGAAAUACUAGAGUAUCGUAGAGGGAGGUAGAAUUCUAGGUGUAGCGGUGAAAUGCGUAGAUAUCUGGAGGAAUACCUGUGGCGAAAGCGGCCUCCUAAACGAAUACUGACACUGAGGUGCGAAAGCGUGGGGAGCAAACAGGGAUUAGAUACCCGU
rnacentral:rRNA from 1 species